AGUUCAUGAUGUGGAUAUUUUCGUAGAAAAUUUCUAAAUCUUUCCCAUGCCUCAUAUAAUGAUUCACCCUCUAAUUCGCUAAAACUAGUGAUAUUCAUUCUAAGCUU